CUACGGGGGGCACCAGUGAGGAAUAUUGCACAAUGGGGGGAACCCUGAUGCAGCAACGCCGCGUGGAGGAUGACGCAUUUCGGUGUGUAAACUCCUUUUAUAUGUCGAGAAAAUGACGGUAGCAUAUGAAUAAGCACCGGCUAACUCCGUGCCAGCAGCCGCGGUAAUACGGAGGGUGCAAGCGUUACUCGGAAUCACUGGGCGUAAAGGACGCGUAGGCGGGUUGGAAAGUCAGGUGUGAAAUCCUACAGCUUAACUGUAGAACUGCACUUGAAACUUCUAAUCUAGAGUAUGGGAGGGGGAGAUGGAAUUAGUGGUGUAGAGGUAAAAUCCGUAGAUAUCACUAGGAAUACCUAAAGCGAAGGCGAUCUCCUGGAACAUUACUGACGCUAAGGCGUGAAAGCGUGGGGAGCAAACAGGAUUAGAUACCCUAGUAGUC
rnacentral:rRNA from 1 species